ensembl:processed_transcript BC028777 cDNA sequence BC028777
AGGAAUACAAGAGCGAGGCUCCCUCGCCUCAUCAUAGCAGGGGUCGGCGGAGGCCGGCAGCCCUGGGCUCAGUGCAGCGGAGAGCGUGCCCGCGGUCAGCAGCAGCCCCCAGGGCCAGGUGGGCAUGGCCGUGGCCGCUGCCCUGGGACCCUGCAUAAUCCUGAUGGUCCGAGGAGGGACUGGCCAGGAGAGGUCCUGGGUCCGCGUACCAGACCUGCAGCAGCCUCCUGGAAACGCGCAGGCUCCGCUCCAACUGCCGCUGCCGAUCGGCGCAGGAGUCCAAGGCGCCCUGCAGCUCCGCUACCAGCCUGAGGACAGGUUUUGCCGAACCUACUUUGAAAGCAGAGAUAAGCGGUCUUGCCGAGUCCAGGGUGACUUAGUGAUCAAGCAUAUGGCCGGAAGACGAUAUUAGAACUGGGUCAAGGAACAGCGUAGGAAUGUCUGGCGCCAGACGUGAACAACGAAGCCCAGGGAAUCUGGAGCAUGUGGCACUUAGAAUAGGUCUACUAAGCUGGUCUACGUCAUGGAAGGUUGUGCAAGAGACAGAGGAGUGACGGAUAGUAGGGGGAGGGGAGGCUGAAGCCCAGGGAAUGGCCAGGAGGCGGUGGAUAGAACUCAUGCAAACACUGCAGCUAAGGCUCAGAGCAACGGUCUUUGCCCUCAAACAUCUACCAAGCUAGGCCACCUUGUCAAUUCAUGGUUCAUAUUGACUUGUUUGGGAUAGAUAUCAGCACAUUAUUCUAUGUUCUCCAUCAAGUCAGAUUGUUUGUGCAAUCUCAUGUAGUCUCAGCUGGCCUUCAAUUCACUAUGUAGCUGAUGACCUUCAAC